rnacentral:rRNA from 1 species
GUUGGGUAGGGGAGCGUUCUGUAAGCCUGUGAAGGUGGCCUGUGAGGGUUGCUGGAGGUAUCAGAAGUGCGAAUGCUGACAUAAGUAACGAUAAAGCGGGUGAAAAGCCCGCUCGCCGGAAGACCAAGGGUUCCUGUCCAACGUUAAUCGGGGCAGGGUGAGUCGACCCCUAAGGCGAGGCCGAAAGGCGUAGUCGAUGGGAAACGGGUUAAUAUUCCCGUACUUGGUGUUACUGCGAAGGGGGGACGGAGAAGGCUAUGUUGGCCGGGCGACGGUUGUCCCGGUUUAAGCGUGUAGGUGUGUGUUCCAGGUAAAUCCGGUUCACUUUAACACUGAGGCGUGACGACGAGGCACUACGGUGCUGAAGCAACAAAUGCCCUGCUUCCAGGAAAAGCCUCUAAGCAUCAGGUAACAUCAAAUCGUACCCCAAACCGACACAGGUGGUCAGGUAGAGAAUACCAAGGCGCUUGAGAGAACUCGGGUGAAGGAACUAGGCAAAAUGGUGCCGUAACUUCGGGAGAAGGCACGCUGACACGUAGGUGAAGUGAUUUACUCAUGGAGCUGAAGUCAGUCGAAGAUACCAGCUGGCUGCAACUGUUUAUUAAAAACACAGCACUGUGCAAACACGAAAGUGGACGUAUACGGUGUGACGCCUGCCCGGUGCCGGAAGGUUAAUUGAUGGGGUCAGCGCAAGCGAAGCUCCUGAUCGAAGCCCCGGUAAACGGCGGCCGUAACUAUAACGGUCCUAAGGUAGCGAAAUUCCUUGUCGGGUAAGUUCCGACCUGCACGAAUGGCGUAAUGAUGGCCAGGCUGUCUCCACCCGAGACUCAGUGAAAUUGAACUCGCUGUGAAGAUGCAGUGUACCCGCGGCAAGACGGAAAGACCCCGUGAACCUUUACUAUAGCUUGACACUGAACAUUGAGCCUUGAUGUGUAGGAUAGGUGGGAGGCUUUGAAGUGUGGACGCCAGUCUGCAUGGAGCCGACCUUGAAAUACCACCCUUUAAUGUUUGAUGUUCUAACGUGGACCCGUAAUCCGGGUUGCGGACAGUGUCUGGUGGGUAGUUUGACUGGGGCGGUCUCCUCCUAAAGAGUAACGGAGGAGCACGAAGGUUGGCUAAUCCUGGUCGGACAUCAGGAGGUUAGUGCAAUGGCAUAAGCCAGCUUGACUGCGAGCGUGACGGCGCGAGCAGGUGCGAAAGCAGGUCAUAGUGAUCCGGUGGUUCUGAAUGGAAGGGCCAUCGCUCAACGGAUAAAAGGUACUCCGGGGAUAACAGGCUGAUACCGCCCAAGAGUUCAUAUCGACGGCGGUGUUUGGCACCUCGAUGUCGGCUCAUCACAUCCUGGGGCUGAAGUAGGUCCCAAGGGUAUGGCUGUUCGCCAUUUAAAGUGGUACGCGAGCUGGGUUUAGAACGUCGUGAGACAGUUCGGUCCCUAUCUGCCGUGGGCGCUGGAGAACUGAGGGGGGCUGCUCCUAGUACGAGAGGACCGGAGUGGACGCAUCACUGGUGUUCGGGUUGUCAUGCCAAUGGCACUGCCCGGUAGCUAAAUGCGGAAGAGAUAAGUGCUGAAAGCAUCUAAGCACGAAACUUGCCCCGA